GGAUUAAUUCGAUGCAACGCGAAGAACCUUACCUGGGUUUGACAUACACCGGAAAACCGUAGAGAUACGGUCCCCCUUGUGGUCGGUGUACAGGUGGUGCAUGGCUGUCGUCAGCUCGUGUCGUGAGAUGUUGGGUUAAGUCCCGCAACGAGCGCAACCCUUGUCUUAUGUUGCCAGCACGUAAUGGUGGGGACUCGUAAGAGACUGCCGGGGUCAACUCGGAGGAAGGUGGGGACGACGUCAAGUCAUCAUGCCCCUUAUGUCCAGGGCUUCACACAUGCUACAAUGGCCAGUACAGAGGGCUGCGAGACCGUGAGUUGGAGCGAAUCCCUUAAAGCUGGUCUCAGUUCGGAUCGGGGUCUGCAACUCGACCCCGUGAAGUCGGAGUCGCUAGUAAUCGCAGAUCAGCAACGCUGCGGUGAAUACGUUCCCGGGCCUU
rnacentral:rRNA from 1 species